rnacentral:rRNA from 1 species
GACGAACGCUGGCGGCGUGCUUAACACAUGCAAGUCGAACGGAAAGGCCUGUCCUUCCUUGUGUUGGACGGGUACUCGAGUGGCGAACGGGUGAGUAACACGUGAGUGAUCUGCCCCCAACUUGGGUAUAAGCCUGGGAAACUGGGUCUAAUUCCCGAUAGGACUGCAGGGUGGUGCCUGUGGUGGAAAACGAUUUUCUAGUGGUUGGGGAUGAGCUCGCGGCCUAUCAGCUUGUUGGUGGGGUAAUGGCCUACCAAGGCGGCGACGGGUAGCCGGCCUGAGAGGGUGGACGGCCACAUUGGGACUGAGAUACGGCCCAGACUCCUACGGGAGGCAGCAGUGGGGAAUAUUGCACAAUGGGCGGAAGCCUGAUGCAGCGACGCCGCGUGGGGGAUGACGGCCUUAGGGUUGUAAAGCUCUUUUACCCGGGAUGAUAAUGACAGUACCGGGAGAAUAAGCUCCGGCUAACUCCGUG